AACGAACGCUGGCGGCGCGCCUAAUACAUGCAAGUCGAGCGAGAAGACGUAGCAAUACGUUUGUAAAGCGGCGAACGGGUGAGGAAUACAUGGGUAACCUACCCUCGAGUGGGGAAUAACUAGCCGAAAGGUUAGCUAAUACCGCGUACGCUUCUUGGACUUCAGUUCAGGGAGGAAAGCGAUACCGUGGGUAUCGCGCUCUUGGAUGGGCUCAUGUCCUAUCAGCUUGUUGGUGAGGUAACGGCUCACCAAGGCUUCGACGGGUAGCUGGUCUGAGAGGACGAUCAGCCACACUGGCACUGCGACACGGGCCAGACUCCUACGGGAGGCAGCAGUAAGGAAUAUUGCGCAAUGGGCGAAAGCCUGACGCAGCGACGCCGCGUGGGGGAUGAAGGUCUUCGGAUUGUAAACCCCUUUCGGGAGGGAAGAUGGUACGAGCAAUCGUUCGGACGGUACCUCCAGAAGCAGCCACGGCUAACUUCGUGCCAGCCGCCGCGGUAAGAC
rnacentral:rRNA from 1 species